GUUUAUAGUGAAACUGCACAAGGCUCAUUACACCAGUUAUCGUUUAUUUGAUGGUCUCUUUACCAAGGAUACCUCUGGUAAUUCUAGAGCUAAUACUUGCGCAAGGUGGCGACUCACGAAGCCGCGUAUUUAUUAGAUACCGACCGACCCCGCAAGGGUGAUGGUGAUUCAUAAUAACUGCUCGAAUCGCAUGGUCUUGCACCGGCGAUGCAUCAUUCAAAUAUCUGCCCUAUCAACUUUCGAUGGGAGGGUAGUGGCCUCCCAUGGUGACAACGGGUACGGGCGAUUAGGGUCGAAUUGCCGGAGAGGGAGCCUGAGAACUUAAAGGAAUUGACGGAAGGGCACCACCAGGGGUGGAGCCUGCGGCUUAAUUUGACUCAACACGGGACAACUUACCAGGUCCAGACAUAAGAAGGAUUGACAGAUUAAAA
rnacentral:rRNA from 1 species